rnacentral:rRNA from 1 species
UGGGGAAUUUUGGACAAUGGGCGAAAGCCUGAUCCAGCAAUGCCGCGUGUGUGAAGAAGGCCUUCGGGUUGUAAAGCACUUUUGUCCGGAAAGAAAUCCUUGGCUCUAAUACAGUCGGGGGAUGACGGUACCGGAAGAAUAAGCACCGGCUAACUACGUGCCAGCAGCCGCGGUAAUACGUAGGGUGCAAGCGUUAAUCGGAAUUACUGGGCGUAAAGCGUGCGCAGGCGGUUUGCUAAGACCGAUGUGAAAUCCCCGGGCUCAAACCUGGGAACUGCAUUGGUGACUGGCAGGCUAGAGUAUGGCAGAGGGGGGUAGAAUUCCACGUNUGAGCAGUGAAAUGCGUAGGAGAUGUGGAGGAAUACCGAUGGCGAAGGCAGCCCCCUGGGCCAAUA